UACGUAGGGUGCGAGCGUUGUCCGGAUUUAUUGGGCGUAAAGAGCUCGUAGGCGGUUUGUCGCGUCGGCCGUGAAAUCUCCACGCUUAACGUGGAGCGUGCGGUCGAUACGGGCAGACUUGAGUUCGGUAGGGGAGACUGGAAUUCCUGGUGUAGCGGUGAAAUGCGCAGAUAUCAGGAGGAACACCGGUGGCGAAGGCGGGUCUCUGGGCCGAUACUGACGCUGAGGAGCGAAAAGCGUGGGGGAGCGAACAGG
rnacentral:rRNA from 1 species